rnacentral:rRNA from 1 species
GCAUAUCAAUAAGCGGAGGAAAAGAAACCAACAGGGAUUGCCCUAGUAACGGCGAGUGAAGCGGCAACAGCUCAAAUUUGAAAUCUGGCCUCGGCCCGAGUUGUAAUUUGCAGAGGAUGCUUCUGGCGCGGUGCCUUCCGAGUUCCCUGGAACGGGACGCCACAGAGGGUGAGAGCCCCGUAUGGUCGGACACCAAGCCUGUGUGAAGCUCCUUCGACGAGUCGAGUAGUUUGGGAAUGCUGCUCUAAAUGGGAGGUAAAUCUCUUCUAAAGCUAAAUACCGGCCAGAGACCGAUAGCGCACAAGUAGAGUGAUCGAAAGAUGAAAAGCACCUUGAAAAGGGGGUUAAAUAGUACGUGAAAUUGUUGAAAGGGAAGCACUUGUGACCAGACUUGGGCCGGGCGGCUCAUCAGGGGUUCUCCCCUGUGCACUCCGCCCGGCACAGGCCAGCAUCGGUUCUCGUGGGGGGAUAAGACCGUCAGGAACGUAGCACCCUCCGGGGUGUGUUAUAGCCUGGCGGACGAUACCCCCGUGGGGACCGAGGUUCGCGCUCCGCAAGGAUGCUGGCGUAAUGGUCACCAGUGACCCGUCUUGAAACACGGACCAAGGAGUCGUCCAUUAGAGCGAGCGUUUGGGUGUAAAACCCGCACGCGUAAUGAAAGUGAACGCAGGUGAGAGCUUCGGCGCAUCAUCGACCGAUCCUGAUGUUCUCGGAAGGAUUUGAGUAAGAGUUUUAACGGACGGACCCGAAAGACAGUGAACUAUGCUUGUAUAGGGUGAAGCCAGAGGAAACUCUGGUGGAGGCUCGCAGCGGUUCUGACGUGCAAAUCGAUCGUCAAAUAUGAGCAUGGGGGCGAAAGACUAAUCGAACUGUCUAGUAGCUGGUUACCGCCGAA